UUGGCUUGCUAAUAUUGUCAGCUAAGUGGCGCACGGGUGAGUAAUAUAUAGUUAAUCUGCCCCAAAGAAGAGAAUAAUUGUUGGAAACGACUUGUAAUGCUCUAGAUGCCUUUAUUACAUAAGUAAGCAAGGGAAACAUUUAUGGCUUUGGGAUGAGACUGUACGGUAUCAGCUAGUUGGUGAGGUAAUGGCUCACCAAGGCUAUGACAUCUAACUGGUUUGAGAGGAUGAUCAGUCACACUGGAACUGAGACACGGUCCAGACUCCUACGGGAGGCAGCAGCGGGGAAUAUUGCACAAUGGAGGAAACUCUGAUGCAGCAACGCCGCGUGGAGGAUGACACAUUUCGGUGCGUAAACUCCUUUUAUAUGAGAAGAUAAUGACGGUAUCAUAUGAAUAAGCACCGGCUAACUCCGUGCCAGCAGCCGCGGUAAUACGGGGGGUGCAAGCGUUACUCGGAAUCACUGGGCGUAAAGAGCAUGUAGGCUGGUUUGUAAGUUGGAAGUGAAAUCCUAUGGCUUAACCAUAGAACUGCUUCCAAAACUGCAGACCUAGUAUAUGGGAGAGGUAGAUGGAAUUUCUGGUGUAGGGGUAAAAUCCGUAGAGAUCAGA
rnacentral:rRNA from 1 species